rnacentral:rRNA from 1 species
UGGGGAAUCUUGGACAAUGGGCGCAAGCCUGAUCCAGCCAUGCCGCGUGGAUGAUGAAGGCCUUAGGGUUGUAAAAUCCUUUCGUGGGGGACGAUAAUGACGGUACCCCAAGAAGAAGCUCCGGCUAACUUCGUGCCAGCAGCCGCGGUAAUACGAAGGGGGCUAGCGUUGUUCGGAUUUACUGGGCGUAAAGCGCGUGUAGGCGGGUCGUUAAGUUGGGGGUGAAAUCCCGAGGCUCAACCUCGGAACUGCCUUCAAAACUGGCGACCUGGACUCAAGCAGAGGCAAGUGGAAUUGCGAGUGUAGAGGUGAAAUUCGUAGAUAUUGGGAAGAACACCAGUGGCGAAGGCGGCUAACUGGUCCGGUACUGACGCUGAGGUGCGAAAGCGUGGGGAGCAAACAGGAUUAGAUACCCUUGUAGUCCCUGAGCGGGCUGGCAAGGCGCAU